rnacentral:sRNA from 2 species
CGCGCCGUCUUUAGGGAGUAGCCUGCCUCCUGCAAUGGGGGGCGGACACGUCAACAUUCUCGGCGCUUGCCGUGGCGUGUCCAACCAACCGGUUUGGCGAGACUAUCGACGCUGAUCUUGUCCAGGGCUGGGCGGGAGGUCGGCGUCAUGGUUUCGCACCGUCCGG